GACCACAAUUUCGGGUUUGUCAUGAUGGCUAUUGUGAUUAUUUUAUCACCAUUUGCAGAGAGAUGAGCUGUAACGAUUCAGUAUGCGUGUUCAUUGUAGUACGAAAUCUCCACAUGAUUUAUUAAUUAUUAGAUCGUGGUGGUGUUGAACUAUUUAAGACCUUCUAUGCCAUGGUGCAUUUGGCUCCCCUUUGAAACUUGUAGAACUCAUUCCCUAAAAUUUGGAACUCAUCAAACCUUUAACAUUGUGGAACUCAUCCCGUAGAUCGUAGGCCGGUGAUUGUAUCCUCCCCUAUUUGGAAGAGGCGAGAGUUUUAAAUCCUCCGGGUGUUUCAUAUCUAAAGAGUUUGCCUUUAAACGUGUAGUAAUUUAAGAUCAAUCUAGGGACCUUAGUAAGCUUUUUCUCAAAUUUUUGGGUAGACAUGGCUAGGAUGAAGUCACUAGCUUUAUAUGUCAUGGAGGCUCGUAAGUAAUUUAAUUAUCAAUCAGGGAUUUAUGCAUAAUUUGCUCAAUAUGUUCCACAUCUAGUAAUAAAUAAACUCGAUAGAAAGUUUGGAAUUCAGCAACUUGUAAGUAAUUUAUUGUUCAAAUAGGAACUUGUAGUUAGUUUAGUAAACUCACUAUGAUACCUCCGCUUUCUUCCCUCAAACUCCCUUUUUGUAUCUUCUCUCCCAGGGCGCCUAAUAACAUUUGCUCGCUAUUUUUUCUCUGCGAGAUUUUUUUUUUGUUUUUUCUGAAAAGUCCUCCAUGGAAAGAGAAAGAUUUUUUUUUUAAAAAAACGUCUCUGGACUCAAAAUAUUGAUGCUUUUGGUGUCUAGUAGAAAGGUGAUAUAUGUAUAUAGAGUAUUUUUUUGGUAUACUCUACUUGGUUUUCGUCCACAAUUGACUGUUUGAUACCCUU
rnacentral:lncRNA from 1 species